CAACCCUCAAGCCCUCGCUUGGUGUUGGGGCCCUGCGGCUGCCGCAGGCCCUGAAAUAAAGUGGCGGGCUCGCGGCGACUCCGAGCGUAGUAGAAUCCUAUUCUCGCUAGGGAGGCGCGGCGCGCUCCGGCCGUUAAAGAUCUCUUAACACAA
rnacentral:misc_RNA from 1 species